CAGUAGCCACGGUAAUACAGAGGGUGCGAGCGUUAAUCGGAUUUACUGGGCGUAAAGCGUGCGUAGGCGGCUUCUUAAGUCGGAUGUGAAAUCCCUGAGCUUAACUUAGGAAUUGCAUUCGAUACUGGGAAGCUAGAGUAUGGGAGAGGAUGGUAGAAUUCCAGGUGUAGCGGUGAAAUGCGUAGAGAUCUGGAGGAAUACCGAUGGCGAAGGCAGCCAUCUGGCCUAAUACUGACGCUGAGGUACGAAAGCAUGGGGAGCAAACAGGAUUAGAUACCCCUGUAGUCCCUGUCUCUAUACA
rnacentral:rRNA from 1 species